rnacentral:tRNA from 1 species
GCUAAUGUGGCACAGCAGGUAGCGCAACGCCUUGGUAAGGCGUAGGUCGGCGGUUCGAAUCCGCUCAUUAGCU